rnacentral:rRNA from 1 species
UACGUAGGGUCCGAGCGUUGUCCGGAAUUACUGGGCGUAAAGAGCUCGUAGGUGGUUUGUCGCGUUGUUCGUGAAAACUCACAGCUCAACUGUGGGCGUGCGGGCGAUACGGGCAGACUAGAGUACUGCAGGGGAGACUGGAAUUCCUGGUGUGGCGGUGGAAUGCGCAGAUAUCAGGAGGAACACCGGUGGAGCGGAAGGCGGGUCGUCCGUGGACCGGAUACUGGACGCUGAGGAGCGAAAGCGUGGGGGAGCGAACAGG